GCUCAGCUAGUUCAGUUUGUAGAGCAUGAGACCCUUAAUCUCAGGGUCGUGGGUUCGAGCCCCACCUUGAGUG
rnacentral:tRNA from 1 species